rnacentral:rRNA from 1 species
CCUACGGGGGGCUGCAGUGGGGAAUAUUGCACAAUGGGCGCAAGCCUGAUGCAGCCAUGCCGCGUGUGUGAAGAAGGCCUUCGGGUUGUAAAGCACUUUCAGCGGGGAGGAAGGCGGUGAGGUUAAUAACCUCAUCGAUUGACGUUACCCGCAGAAGAAGCACCGGCUAACUCCGUGCCAGCAGCCGCGGUAAUACGGAGGGUGCAAGCGUUAAUCGGAAUUACUGGGCGUAAAGCGCACGCAGGCGGUCUGUCAAGUCGGAUGUGAAAUCCCCGGGCUCAACCUGGGAACUGCAUUCGAAACUGGCAGGCUAGAGUCUUGUAGAGGGGGGUAGAAUUCCAGGUGUAGCGGUGAAAUGCGUAGAGAUCUGGAGGAAUACCGGUGGCGAAGGCGGCCCCCUGAACAAAGACUGACGCUCAGGUGCGAAAGCGUGGGGAGCAAACAGGAUUAGAUACCCGUGUAGUC